rnacentral:rRNA from 1 species
UGCCUGUACCAUAACCGACACAGGUGGGUAGGUAGAGUAUACUAAGGGGCGCGAGAUAACUCUCUCUAAGGAACUCGGCAAAAUGACUCCGUAACUUCGGGAGAAGGAGUGCCUUAUUUAUAAGGUUGCAAUAACAAGAUCCAAGCAACUGUUUAUCAAAAACACAGGUCUCCGCUAAGUCGUAAGACGAUGUAUGGGGGCUGACGCCUGCCCAGUGCCAGAAGGUUAAAGAAGUUGGUUAGUGUAUGCGAAGCUGAUGACUGAAGCCCUGGUGAACGGCGGCCGUAACGAUAACGGUCCUAAGGUAGCGAAAUUCCUUGUCGGGUAAGUUCCGACCCGCACGAAAGGCGUAAUGAUUUGGAUACUGUCUCGGAGAGAGGCUCGGUGAAAUAGACUUGUCUGUGAAGAUGCGGACUACCUGCACCAGGACAGAAAGACCCUAUGAAGCUUUACUGUAACUUGAAAUUGGAAUUGGACUUUGCUUGCGCAGUAUAGGUGGGAAGCGUUGAAGAUAUUCUUGCGGGAGUAUUGGAGCUAUCAGUGAGAUACCACUCUUGUAAUGUUAGAUUUCUAACUUUGAACCAUAAUCUGGUCAAAGAACAGUUUCAGGUGGGCAGUUUGACUGGGGCGGUCGCCUCCCAAAUGGUAACGGAGGCGUACAAAGGUUUCCUCUGAACGGAUAGAAAUCGUAUCUAGAGUGUAAAGGCAUAAGGAAGCUUGACUGUGAGACCUACAAGUCGAGCAGGGACGAAAGUCGGUCUUAGUGAUCUGACGGUACUGAGUGGAAAGGCCGUCACUCAACGGAUAAAAGUUACUCUAGGGAUAACAGGCUGAUCUCCCCCAAGAGUUCACAUCGACGGGGAGGUUUGGCACCUCGAUGUCGGCUCAUCGCAUCCUGGGGCGGUAGUACGUCCCAAGGGUUGGGCUGUUCGCCCAUGAAAGCGGUACGCGAGCUGGGUUCAGAACGUCGUGAGACGGUUCGGUCCAUAUCCGGUGUAGGCGUUAGAAUAUUGAGAGGAGCCUUCUUUAGUACGAGAGGACCGAGAAGGACACACCGCUGGUGUACCAGUUAUCGUGCCAACGGUAAACGCUGGGUAGCUAUGUGUGGAGUGGAUAACCGCUGAAAGCAUCUAAGUGGGAAGCCCACCUCAAGAUGAGUACUCUCACCAUAUUGGUUAAGGUCACGGGAAGAACACCCGUUGAUAGGCAUC